UCGAGAGGCUUCGGCAAUGGGGGAAACCCUGACCGAGCGACGCCGCGUGGAGGAUGAAGGCCCUUGGGUUGUAAACUCCUUUUGUUGGGGAAGAAAUGCGAUCAGGUGAACAAUCUGGUCGUUUGACGGUACCCGACGAAUAAGCUCCGGCUAACUCCGUGCCAGCAGCCGCGGUAACACGGGGGGAGCAAGCGUUGUUCGGAAUCACUGGGCGUAAAGCGCGUGUAGGCGGUUAGGUAAGUGGGAUGUGAAAUACUCCGGCUCACCCGGAGAACUGCAUCCCAAACUGCCUAGCUUGAGUAUGGGAGAGGAUGAGGGAAUUCCUGGUGUAGCGGUGAAAUGCGUAGAUAUCAGGAGGAACACCGGUGGCGAAAGCGCUCAUCUGGCCCAAUACUGACGCUGCAGCGCGAAAGCUAGGGGAGCAAACGGGAUUAGAUACCCCCGUAGUCC
rnacentral:rRNA from 1 species